rnacentral:tRNA from 1 species
CCGAUAGGGCUGCAAUAGCAGGUAGCUUUGAUAUAGCUGUAUUUAAAGUUUAUUCUUUCGUCGGU